rnacentral:rRNA from 1 species
AACGAACGCUGGCGGCAUGCCUAACACAUGCAAGUCGAACGAGACCUUCGGGUCUAGUGGCGCACGUGUGCGUAACGCGUGGGAACCUGCCCUUAGGUUCGGAAUAACUCCCCGAAAGGGGUGCUAAUACCGGAUAAUGUCUUCGGACCAAAGAUUUAUCGCCUUUGGAUGGGCGCGCGUUGGAUUAGCUAGUUGGUAGUGUAUAAGCCUACCAAGGCGACGAUCCAGAGCUGGUCUGAGAGGAUGACCAGCCACACUGGGACUGAGACACGGACCAGACUGCUACGGGACGGAGCAGUAGGGAAUAUUAGACGAGGGACGAUAGCCUGAUAAAGCAACGCGGCGGGAGUGGUGAAGGCCUUAGGGUUGUAAAGCUCUUUUUCCCGAGAUGAUAAUGACAGUACCGGGUGAAUAAGCACCGGCUAACUACGUG